GCAACUGCCAAGGUUCACCCUAAUUUAUGAAAACCAAGGAGGUUAGAGCUGAUGAACAAUGACCUUCCCAGCACCAACCCUGAAGACUCUAUGUCCUGCUUUGAUUUGUCCAAGAAUGAUUCAUAUCUCAUGUCAGCAACAGGAGGGAUGCUCUCCGUUUUUGACAUGACAACAUUUAAGAAAGUCAUGCCACCGCCACCUGCGGCAACAUGUCUUGCUUUUCACCCCUGAGAUGACAGUAUAGUUGCUAUUGGCAUGAACAAUUCCACCAUUGUAAUAUACAAUCUCCACUCAGACAAGGUUACAAGGAAGCUUGAGGGUCACACCAAAAGAGUCACCCUUGCCUUCUCAAACACUCUGAAUAUUUUUGUGUGGGGUGCUGCUGGGUGGGAAAAAUAGAGAAGCAAAUUGUUGCAGAUUCCAGAUGGGAAGG